rfam:Octopus bimaculoides Scaffold25038_contig_51, whole genome shotgun sequence.
GUAUUGCCAAAGUAAUAUAUAUACUAAAAUUGGAAUGAUGCAGAGAAGAUUGGUAUAGCUGCUGCUCAAGGAUGACACGCAUAUUCGUGAAGCGUUCCAUAUUUCU